AGAGUUUGAUCAUGGCUCAGAAUCAACGCUGGCGGCGUGCCUAACACAUGCAAGUCGCACGAGAAAGUGGAGCAAUCCAUGAGUAAAGUGGCGCACGGGUGAGUAACACGUGAAUGAUCUACCUCCGAGUGGGGAAUAACCUAGAGAAAUCUGGGCUAAUACCGCAUAACACUUACGAGUCAAAGCAGCAAUGCGCUUGGAGAGGAGUUCGCGGCCGAUUAGUUAGUUGGCGGGGUAAUGGCCCACCAAGACGAUGAUCGGUAUCCGGCCUGAGAGGGCGCACGGACACACUGGAACUGAAACACGGUCCAGACUCCUACGGGAGGCAGCAGUGGGGAAUUUUGCGCAAUGGGGGAAACCCUGACGCAGCAACGCCGCGUGGAGGAUGAAAUCCCUUGGGAUGUAAACUCCUUUCGAUCGGGACGAUUAUGACGGUACCGGAAGAAGAAGCCCCGGCUAACUUCGUGCCAGCAGCCGCGGUAAUACGAGGGGGGCAAGCGUUGUUCGGAAUUAUUGGGCGUAAAGGGCGCGUAGGCGGUCUGACAAGUCUGAUGUGAAAUCUCUGGGCUCAACCCAGAGUCUGCAUUAGAAACUGUCGGGCUUGAGUAUGGGAGAGGUGAGUGGAAUUUCCGGUGUAGCGGUGAAAUGCGUAGAUAUCGGAAGGAACACCUGUGGCGAAAGCGGCUCACUGGACCAUAACUGACGCUGAGGCGCGAAAGCUAGGGGAGCAAACAGGAUUAGAUACCCUAGUAGUCC
rnacentral:rRNA from 1 species